GUUGCUUCUUUGCAAGAGUAAAUAGUAAAGUUAACAAAUAAUCAAACAAUGUAAUUGCUUAUAAAACUGAAGUCUCUCAUAUACUAUCGCUGCUAACCAAUUUUGUAACGUGUUUGGCUUAUAAACUAUCUGUUAGUAUCCGUUUUCACAGAAUCUUAGAUACUCAAAUAUCAAUAUUUUGAUGAACUCAAACGCUAAUUUCAACUAGGAGGUUUUAUUAAAAACUACUAUACCAACUUCUAAACUUUAGAACUUAACAAAGAAACAACAAUAUUUACACAAUUGACUUG
rnacentral:lncRNA from 1 species